rnacentral:rRNA from 1 species
GAUGAACGCUGGCGGCGUGCCUAAUACAUGCAAGUUGUGCGGUAACAGAGAGAGCUUGCUCUCUGCUGACGAGCGGCGGACGGCAGAGUAACGCGUAGGAACAUACCCCAAACUGAGGGAUAACUGCUCGAAAGAGUAGCUAAUACCGCAUGUGGUCUUCGGAUUAAAAGCUUCGGCGGUUUGGGAGUGGCCUGCGUCCGAUUAGCUAGUUGGUGAGGUAAUUGCUCACCAAGGCGACGAUCGGUAGCUGGUCUGAGAGGAUGAUCAGCCUGACUGGAACUGAGAACGGUCCAGACUCCUACGGGAGGCAGCAGUAGGGAAUUUUCCACAAUGGGCGAAAGCCUGAUGGAGCAACGCCGCGUGCAGGAUGAAUGCCUUCGGGUUGUAAACUGCUUUUCUGUGUGAAGAAUAUGACGGUAACACAGGAAUAAGGGUACGGCUAACUACGUGCCAGCAGCCGCGGUAAU